CCGUGGUUAAACCUCCCUCCGACUCUGAUUUUAACCGCGUAUUUCUCUCUCGCUCGUUCGUUCGCUCGCUCGCUCGCUCGCUCGCUCUCCCAGAGCCCGACGGGCGCCCGGCGGUGCUGUGAGCUUUUCCCACCCUCUCCCUGCCCCGCCCACCUCCUCGCCUUCCUGAUUGGCGAGCGACCUACAACAGGAACAGCAGUCCUCGGGCUCCACUGGUUAGCCUAGCCGCCGCUCAGGGUUACGCCCACCCCCAGCCCGCCCCCUGUCUCGGGUUGGCUCUGCUUCUAAUCACUCUCUGUCCUCUCCCCUAACGUUGCUCUGGAGAACUGGCAGUCAAGGCUCAUCCUCCCGCCUCCGGAAAGCGAACUUUAUUUUUAUUGGUGAAGGGACAUCUUCCUGUGCACCUGAUUGGGCAAGGACAGAGGGGUCAAGAAAAAACUCCCAGGCCUGUGUUGAAGGAAGCGGGAAAGGGAGAAGAGAGCGAUUCAAAACCCUCUCGAGGCUGAGCGUGGCGUCCAGAGUUCGGCCU
rnacentral:lncRNA from 1 species